GGUGGCUUAGUGGUAGAGCGCUUGCCUAGCAUGCAUGAAGCCCUGGGUUCGAUUCCUCAGUACCA
rfam:Dipodomys ordii contig_7857, whole genome shotgun sequence.